CCUGCUUCCUGGGAUGCAGGAGGGUCCCAUAGCUCUGGGUGUUCCCAGUGGAUUGGCAGCUGGAUGGGCCAGGAAACUUGCAAGUGGAAGGAGACUGGUACAUCUCUGCACACCCAUUCACUUUUCUCCUUGAUUUUGGUGGCAUAUGGGCUUUCGACAUUUUGGAGAAGGGGCAGAAGAAAGAGAAUCACAUCUCAACCUUUAAAGGACAAGCGCCGCUGCCUUGUGAAAGCGUACUCUCAGCCUUGCUCUUCAAAGUUCAGAGCAAGAGAUGCUGCCAAGAUUUAUGCUUCUGUGGCAAAUAAUUCACAGAUGCCAACUCAUUGAAGAAUCCAAAAGCUUUGUCUUAUGCCAGGGUAACUUCAGCAGUAUUUUCCAGAGCUGUGGAUUAAGUUUGCUGAAGCAAAAAAAUGACGAUGUGUCUCAUCUAUUUCAACAGCACUGCCAGACGUUACGAUUCAUGGUGUUCCCUCUUUAAUGGCAGCUAUCUCCAAUGGGCAGUAAAGAAUGACCAAACUGACUAUCAGAUGGCAAGGAGCAGAAGCUGGAACAGCAUUUGCCUUGCUCACUUUGUACUUGACUGUGUAUCCAGGCGUUCCCGUCUAGACUUGCAGGGGUUGCUCGAGCAUUUAAUUACUUGAAUCCCAAUGAGCUGAAACUGCUUGGUUCAGGAGAUAGCAUAAUAAAGGCAUUCUCCUGUGGUGGCUAUAUCAUUUUUUUUAAGCAUUACUGAUGAGCUAGAAAUAGUCACAGAUUUUAAGUGUUGCCAAUGAUUAUAUUCAAAAAGCAUGGAAAAUAUGAGCCUAUAUUUUCUGCUACACCCAUGGUCCUUCAGGAGCAGCAAAAGAAGGGAAUGUGGGCUUCACAUGGAACUACCUAAUUCUCUGUCUGACUACACACCAGCUUUGGCCACUGUUAUGAAUUACACCAUAUAAUGGUCCCAAAAGAGGACAGUCGUGCUAAGCCCUCCCACUCCUGCAUUACUGUGUAACCACAUCAAGGAAUGUGAGACCUGACUUCAUGUUAGCUCAAG